GACGAACGCUGGCGGCGUGCUUAACACAUGCAAGUCGAACGAGUGGCGAACGGGUGAGUAAUACGUGGGAACCUGCCCUCCUUUUUGGGAUAAGCCUUGGAAACGGGGUCUAAUACCGAAUUAAGGGGGAUGGGCUCGAGGCGUAUUAGCUUGUUGGUGGGGUGCUGGCCAACCAAGGCGGUGACGGGUAGCCGGCCUGAGAGGAUGACCAGCCACACUGGAACUGAGACACGGUCCAGACUCCUACGGGAGGCAGCAGUGGGGAAUAUUGCACAAUGGGCGCAAGCCUGAUGCAGCCAUGCCGCGUGUAUGAAGAAGGCCUUCGGGUUGUAAAGUACUUUCAGCGGGGAGGCGUUACCCGCAGAAGAAGCACCGGCUAACUCCGUGCCAGCAGCCGCGGUAAUAC
rnacentral:rRNA from 1 species